UUACCCUACGGGGGGCAGCAGUGGGGGAUAUUGGACAAUGGGGGGAACCCUGAUCCAGCGACGCCGCGUGAGUGAAGAAGUAUUUCGGUAUGUAAAGCUCUGUCAGCAGGGAAGAAAGCAAUGACGGUACCUGACCAAGAAGCCCCGGCUAACUACGUGCCAGCAGCCGCGGUAAUACGUAGGGGGCAAGCGUUAUCCGGAUUUACUGGGUGUAAAGGGAGCGUAGACGGUGCGCCAAGUCUGGAGUGAAACGCCGCAGCUUAACUGCGGAACUGCUUUGGAAACUGGCGAACUAGAGUGCGGGG
rnacentral:rRNA from 1 species